rnacentral:tRNA from 4 species
GGGGUAUAGCCAAGCGGUAAGGCCCAGGGCUUUGAUCCCUGUAUGCCUAGGUUCGAUUCCUAGUGCCCCUGCCA